UACGGAGGAUGCGAGCGUUAUCCGGAUUUAUUGGGUUUAAAGGGUGCGUAGGCGGUCCGUUAAGUCAGCGGUAAAAUUGCGGGGCUCAACCCCGUCGAGCCGUUGAAACUGUCAGACUUGAGUUGGCGAGAAGUACGCGGAAUGCGCGGUGUAGCGGUGAAAUGCAUAGAUAUCGCGCAGAACUCCGAUUGCGAAGGCAGCAUACCGGCGCCCUACUGACGCUGAGGCACGAAAGCGUGGGUAUCGAACAGG
rnacentral:rRNA from 1 species